rnacentral:lncRNA from 1 species
CCUGAUGUGACACCUGUUUACCUGAUUUAACAGCUUCUUUCUCAAUUUCUAUUCUAUGUGAAAACUAAACACUCCACACAAAAUAAAUUGCAGCUUCUAGCCAGGUGUUAGUCUUAAUACAGAGGCCAUAUACAAGAUGUUUAACCAGGCACACCCUUAAAAUUCAACCCUGUUUGUGUUUGCAAUGAACACACAGGGUUGAGUCAUCAUGCAUUAAAAAAAUUUAGUAAUACAGUUCAAACAAUCUUCAGGAUGUUCUCUUCCCAGGAAGCUUCAAUUUUGAGGCUACGUGUCUACUCAUGACAGUAUCACUGUGCUGACUGGAGAAAAUUCAUCAGGCUGAAGAAUAGAUGGCUCCAGCUGGCUGUCAGACAACUGCACACUGAUUGUCCAGGGCAGCCACUGCCUGGAGAGAAAAUAAGAGUGAAAUGUUGGUGCCAAAUGAACUUUUCUGGUUCUUCUGAAUAUGCCACUGUUGCUGGAGAAAUGUCACUGCUAGAGAACAGAAGACUAUUAUUCCAAAGGGUAUUUGAGACUGACUGAAUCAGGUCUGGAACAUUAUUGAAAUGAGACCCACAAAAGAAGAGAUACUGAGGUGGUGACCAGAUGGAUAUAAACGGGCUGUGGAAAAAGAGAAUGCAUGGCCAAAAAUGGUGGUGCUCUCUGUCCAAAAACUGAGGCCCUAUGACCAUGAAUGAAGCCAGAGGGCAGGUAGGAAUAGAUCAUUUGCUCCAGAAGAAGCUGGUUGCCAUGUCUUGAGGACAGUAAACCCUCUGGGGAGGUUCCUGUGGUAAGGAACAAGGGCUCCUGGCAAUAGCCUCUGAGUGAGCCACCUUGAAAAUGGAUUGUCCAGCCCCAGUCAAGCUUUCAGAUGACUGUAGCUCCUGCCAAUGUCUUCACCACAACCUCAUGAGAUCCCAAGCUACAACCACUCAGUUAAGUUAUGCCAAAAUUCCUGAUUCACAGAAAUUGACAUACAGGAGAGGUCACAGUUAAGAUCUUGAUGUUCUAUCUUGACCCAUAAUAUAGGAACUUCAUCUUUUGGGAAGCACCAGGGAGAGCUGCCUGUGCCUGGCAGAAGCUGCCCAUGCCCCACUGAUACCCCACAGUACUUCCUGUUCUGCUUAGUACUCCUGCUUCUUUCUACAAACAACUGUGAUUCUCUACCUGGGAGCUUCCUCUGGCCACAGGAGCCUGCUCACCUGAUUGGGACACCCUAGCAGUACUGGCUCAUAGAUGGAAGGGACUUGCCUUGUCGCUGAUGAGACUUUCGACUUGGACUUUUGAGUCAAUGCUGGAAUGAGUUAAGACUUUGGGGAACUGUUGGAAGGGUGUGAUUGUGUUUUGAAUUGUGAGGACAUGAGAUUUUGAAGAGGCUAAUGGCAGCGUCCCCACCUAAAUCUCUUCUUGAAUUGUAGUUCCCAUAAUCCCCACGUGUCGUGGGGUGGAGCCGGUGGAGAUAAUUGAAUCAUGGGAACACUUUCCCCCAUGCUGUUAUUGUGAUUGUGAAUUCUCACGAGAUCUGAUGGUUGUAUAAACGCCUUCCCUCUUCGCUGGGCACUCAUUUUUCUCCUUCCUGCCACCAUGUGAAGAAGGAUAUGCUUGCUUCUUGUGCCAUGAUUACAAGAACACACUCAGAAAUUUUCUCAACACAGUUUCUAUGCAGAGAAGAGAUGUGGGACAGAUUUGAACUGCUGUCAUAUUUGUAUGAACCCAAGACAUUUUCCAAGACCAAGAGGGAUAAAGACAGCAAUUUCUAUGACUGGCAUUUUACGUGCAUGCACUGUUUCCAAGUGUUCUUGUGUUCUGUGCCUUAAACAUUCUGUGUUGCAACUUUAUGAAUUGAAUUAAAGAUAAUCCCAAGCCCCCAAUUGUCUCAAAAAGUGAAAAAGUAAAUGUUAUAGAAAGAAAAGCGGGAAAAACUUUAAGCAUGAAAUAAAAGAUGGGUUGUGAUAAAAGAGGACUGAAGAAGGAAAAGGAAUGAAAGGUUCUGCCAUCCUUCAUGGCAGCCCACUCCACUUGGUAUGAGAUACUGCUCCCUUGGCUGAAAGUUAACUGCUGUACUCCCUCCACUUUCUAUAAAUGACUCCCUGUGCCUUUCCUUCACCACACAACUCACACUCUCUUCCUUCCUAGUGAGUCCACUAAGGCUUCACUGCAUUAUUACAUUUAUUUCAUUUAGGAAAAACUGACUUUAUUUUCCUUCAAAUUGUUUUUUAUUGUUUAUAUGAGCUUGGUUUUAUUGUCAUUCUAUUUUUCUCCAUGAAAAUAGAGAAAAAUAGGGUCGAAAGGUUAGGUUGGGUGGAAAGGAAUUAUAUUUUUUCUCACUAAAAUUGAUGUAAAUAUCGUUUUCAAUUGAAUGAUUUUACACAGUGGCACAGUUUCAGGUAUGUUGCUAAGCAGGAAAGUUGUUAACCAAAGCAUGAAUGUAUUAAGGAGAUGUAUGCAGAAUGACAUGCAAGGUUAUCUAUGAUUGCUGAGUGAGAAAGAGCAAGUUGCUGAGUAUUAUAUAAGUAUGAUCUCACUUUUGUAAAAAAAAAAAAAAAAAAAGGCCUGGACUGAUCUGAAAUGACCCUAUUAAUAACAAUUAUGUCCAGGUCUGUAUUGCAUACUUGUCAUUCAUUACAGGAUCUUGAGACACAAUGCAAAGGAUCACAUCGCAGCUCUGUAACUUGUUAACUAUAAGAUUUUGAGUAACAUAACACCUUACUCCUUAAAAUUGCUUAAAAAAAAUCUGAACAUCAGGAAUAUUCUACUUCACAGGGUCGUUGUGAUAAUUAAAUGUAGUAAUCAAUGACAAUAGUGCCAGAUACAGUAGAUAGCCUACACUUUGCAGCUACUAUUUCUAUCUAUCAUCCAUCUAUUAAUAUAUAUCAUCUAUCUUUAACUUAUCAUCUAUCUUGUUCCAGUUUUUUAAAAUGAACAUGUAUUAACUUUGUAAAAAAUUAAGGCUAUAAGAUGUGCUGAGCUUUUGGAAUAGAUUUUCCUGUACUAUAUAUGACUGCCAGUGGGAGAAUUUGAAUAAAUGUGUAAAUUUGACUAA